rnacentral:rRNA from 1 species
CGGAUUGCAGCCUGCAACUCGGCUGCAUGAAGCUGGAAUCGCUAGUAAUCGCGGAUCAGAACGCCGCGGUGAAUACGUUCCCGGGUCUUGUACACACCGCCCGUCACACCAUGGGAGCCGGAAACGCCCGAAGCCAGCGGCCCAACCGCAAGGGGGAGCUGUCGAAGGCGGGGCCGGUGACCGGGGUGAAGUCGUAACAAGGUACC